AGCCGUUUAACCGGCCCGUGUAGGGCCACCUUUAGUUAGGACAGAGUAAGAAAUAGGGCCCCUUAGCCAAGACAGGGCCAACAAAACCACUGAAUGAUCAAUAGCCAAAGGCAGAAAAUAUAAAUGAGAAGAGAACAGGACAGCUGGAAUCCAUAUGGAGAUGGGCUUAUAUAAGGAGCCAACGGGCAACGACAGUCUCCAGCCACUUCUUAUACGUCAUUAUUAUAUUUGGCUGACGUUCAAAUUGCCUGUGGGUUUGUUCAAGUGGGCGUGUCUCACUCAGAGGGUGGGAGUGGUUAACUGUAGUUUUUGGUAAGAUAUUUAGUAUAUAAGGAGGGGGGUCCGCCUGAAACAUCUAAUCUCCGGGAUCUGAUUGGUCACAGCCAUGAAGGGGACUCUGAUUGUGUUAGUGGCAUUGGCCGGAGCCUGGGCUGCACCUCAAGGAAGGGAACCCGGGAGCAAAUGGAUCAACGAUUACGACAAACCCUUUUCUUUCCAGUGUCCCGAUCAGCAGAGCAUUGGCUUUAUUAUAAGGUACUCACCGAUCCUCUGUUCGGCGCGAUGCGUUCCAGUGAUGUCACAGCUUACAUAUUGUGACGCCGACGCAGGGGAUUCGCUGGGCGCAGCGUAUGGACGCAGGCAACCUUAUUUCUUUCAGCACACUGAUGACUCCAGUGCUUGGACAUCGUUUUUCCGAGCAACAUUGAUUUUGCCUUUCCUGGCUACACCUCAGCUACUUCUUUGGGAACCGUCAUCCUGUGAACAACUACUAUCAACUAGACGCCACCUGACCCACCAGUGUUAUGGAGUGAAGCGGCUAAUUUCAUCACCUGCGCUAACCGUCAUAUCUGCUGAUUAUUCUUCAACAUCUUCCUGCAGCUGACGCCAAGCCACAAGACCCGCUCCACCACAGGCCGGCGCAUCCUGCUAGUAAUCACCGGCUCCCAUACUACACCUUCACUAGUCUCACUUGUAUCCAGUCGAGGGUGCACUGGUGGGGGAGCUGUAGGGGUUCUCUUCCUCAGCAUCCGUGGUUCCUCCCGGUUCGCUCCCUACCCAGGACACACACGGCCUGAAACAGUGGAUCAUCUUCACUGAAAACUGCAAGUCGGGGAACCCAGCUGCACCCACCAGCAAAUGCUGCUCCCCCGCUCUUGGAUACACUUUUAACAAAGAGAUAAGGGGACGUUCCUAGAGCCUGGAGUCUGUUUAACCACUGUAAGUUGCCCUUUUAUUCGACACUCUU